UUAAAUGCAUUUAUCAUUCAUCAUUUUAAUGUUUCUACUUAUCUUAUGGAUUAUUUGAUUGCCAAGUUCAGUAAGUAAAUUUUGUACGACUUUGUUAAUGUUACAAACCCAUUAUCUCUAUCGAACUAACAUACUUUUUUUUAUCUUGAUUACCACUGCUCAGAUAUGUGAUGUUUGAUCGAUCACCAAUCACCAAUCACCAUCCUAUUCUCCAGGUGGGCGUGCUUGAUGGCCAUUAGUGAAGCUCUGUCAAGAACGACUGUAGUGGAAAAUGAAUUUUUGAAUGAGUACGAAGGUGGUGGAAAAUAUAGCAUCGGUGAUCAUGGUUAUUGCUACAGCUGUGGUGGUGGUUGAUACGCGAAAUCAUAUAUAACUAUAUAUACUUCAAAUGUAUUUAUUUUUAGUUUUAUCUAUGUUCUAAGUUUAGUUAUCUAAUUAUUUAAUUUUAUUGUGUAUAUCAUGAUUAUCUGGCAUGUUUGAUGGCUUGGAACACAGUUUUGUUUAUUUGUUAUAUUUAAUUUUUCUCAUUGAUCAUAUAUAAAAAAAUACAUAAUUUCUCAAAAAAUGAUAAAGCCUGGUCAAAAGUUAAAAGUAUUUUUUUGUGUAACAUAGGAGAUAAUUGUUUUUUUUUUUGUAAUGUGACAGAGAAGAUAAUUGAUAUUUUGUGUGUGUAUAAAGCCUAGAUUAACUUAAAGUAUUUUUUGA
rnacentral:lncRNA from 1 species